CCCCACACACACAAUUUAAUGAAUUCCCUUGCAUUUCAUUUUCACAUGUUGAGUUGAAAUGUUCACAUGUGAAAACAAAAGAGACACAUGCGAGGUCAGUUGUUCACAUGUGAAAACAAAAAAGACACAUGUGAGGUCAGUUGUUCACAUGUGAAAACAAAAGAGACACAUGUGAGGUCAGUUGUUCACAUGUGAAAACAAAAAAGACACAUGCGAGGUCAGUUGUUCACAUGUGAAAACAAAAGAGACACAUGUGAGGUCAGUUGUUCACAUGUGAAAACAAAAGAGACACAUGUGAGGUCAGUUGUUCACAUGUGAAAACAAAAGAGACACAUGUGAGGUCAGUUGUUCACAUGUGAAAACAAAAGAGACACAUGUGAGGUCAGUUGUUCACAUGUGAAAACAAAAAAGACACAUGCGAGGUCAGUUGUUCACAUGUGAAAACAAAAGAGACACAUGUGAGGUCAGUUGUUCACAUGUGAAAACAAAAGAGACACAUGUGAGGUCAGUUGUUCACAUGUGAAAACAAAAGAGACACAUGUGAGGUCAGUUGUUCACAUGUGAAAACAAAAGAGACACAUGUGAGGUCAGUUGUUCACAUGUGAAAACAAAAGAGACACAUGUGAGGUCAGUUGUUCACAUGUGGGAAAUACUUUCAAAUGACUUUCAAAUACAUUGUGAAAAAGUCUAAGGGGGGUGAAUACUUAUGCAAGGCACUGUAUUUCAAGAGAUCAUGUAUUCACAUGUGCAGUUUCAUGUUCUCAAGUGUUGCUUUUACAUGUUUUCAUGUUAUCACCAGUGGUGUUAAGUACAUAAGUUGUACCUUUCUUUAGUAUUCAUAUUUUUGCCAUCUUUUACUUCACUACAUUCCUAAAGAAAAUAAUGUACUUUUAAACUCCAUACAUUUUUCCCUGACACCCAAAAGUACUAGUUACUUUUUGACAGGGAAAUGGUCCAAUUCACACACUUAUCAAGAGAACAUCCCUGGUCAUCACUACUGCCUCUGAUCUGGCAGACUCACUAAACAGAAAUGCUUUGUUUGUAAAUUAGUGUCUUUGUAUUGGAGUGUGCCCCUAUAAGGAAUGUGAAAUUAAUAGUUGAACUUUUUUAGCAAUUCCAUUUACUUUUGAUACUUGAGUAAAUUUAAAAGCAAAUACUUUUAGACUUUUACGUAAGUAGUAUUUUACUGGGUGACUUUCACUUGAGUCGUUUUCUAUUAAGGUAUCUUUACUUUAACUCAAUUAUGACACUUGAGUACUUUUUCCACCACUGGUUAUCACAUUAACUUCACAUAAGAUCAUGUGAAAUUCGUGUGGUUUUUCCUUAAGGGUGUGAAGUGUGAAGUGGUAAGUCAGACAUGACUGUGCUCACAUGCUUUUGACGUCGGACCAAUUCUUCAACAAAUAAAAUGUAAUAUAUUAAAUGUUGCUAAUAAUACAAUUUAUUUACAAUACAUUUCUGAAUGUUCAGAAAGUUAAGCUUACGUAGCAAGAAUCUUAUUGACUAAAAUGAUUGAAAUUCAACAUUUCCCAGUCAGAACUCUGAACUUCAGAUGUUCCCCAAAAUGGAUUUCUUAAAUACCAAAUGAUCUUGGUUCUUCCAUCAUUUUCCCCACAUGUUCAGGCAACACUUUGAGAUAAUAUCUGACUAAGUGCAGUAGAGUACUAAGGGGUAACUAGCUCCACCUAAAAACCAUGUCUAAUUGCUGACACAAAAAAAGCAACGUUUGGGGAAAAAUGGUAUGUGAAUGAAGGUCAUGUUUAAGCGAAAAAAGGUCAUCAAGGACAAUAACCACCUGAGCGAGUACCUGUUCACCCCGCAUCCAUCCAGAAGGCGAGGUCAGUACAGGUGCAUCAACGCUGGGACAGAGAGAUUGAAAAAGAGCUUGUUAAACAGCCACCACUAGCACAGAGAGGCGGCUACCUACCUAUAGACUUGAUAUCAUUGGCCACUUUAAUAAAUGGAACACUAGUCACUUUAAUAAUGACACUUUAAGAAUGUUUACAUAUCUCGCAUUACUCAUCUUGUCACACCCUGAUCUGUUUCACCUGUCCUCGUUAUUGUCGCCACCCCCUCCAGGUGUCUGAGUGGGCAUUCUAUGUUGGAUGUCUUGUUUGUCUAUUUCUAUGUCUGGCCUGAUAUGGUUCUCAAUCAGAGGCAGGUGUUAGUCAUUGUCUCUGAUUGGGAACCAUAUUUAGGUAGCCUGGGUUUCACUGUGUGUUUGUGGGUGAUUGUUCCUGUCUCUGUGUUUUGCACCAGAUAGGGCUGUUUUUGGUUUUCCACGUUUAUUGUUUUUGUAGUGUUUGUGUUUAUCUUUUGUUAUUAAACAUGAAUUAAAAAAAACACGCUGCA